rfam:Oryza sativa (indica cultivar-group) chromosome 2, whole genome shotgun sequence.
AAAAAGACAAACUCUGACUUUUUCAUGUUCAAUUUUAAUUGUUCAUCUUAUAUAAAAUUUUUUAUAAUUUGUAUUUUCAUUGUUGUUAGAUGAUAAAGCAUGAUUAAUAUUUUACGCAUGACUUGUCUUUUUAUUUUUUUUCAUAAUUUUUUCAAAUAAGACGGACGGUUAAUAGUUGGGCACGAAAACUAAG